rnacentral:rRNA from 1 species
UACGUAGGAUGCGAGCGUUAUCCGGAUUUAUUGGGUUUAAAGGGUGCGUAGGCGGGCUGUUAAGUCAGCGGUAAAAGCCCGGGGCUCAACCCCGGCGAGCCGUUGAAACUGGCUGUCUUGAGAUGUCGAGAGGUAUGCGGAGUGCGCAGUGUAGCGGUGAAAUGCUUAGAUAUUGCGCAGAACUCCGAUUGCGAAGGCAGCAUACCGGCGGCGAUCUGACGCUGAGGCACGAAAGCGUGGGUAUCGAACAGG